GGGCAUGCAGGCGCUAAGGGCCAAUAGGGACCUGCCCGGCCGCCCGUUUCCGCUGCGGGGCCGCGGCGUCGGCGCCGCCAGCCACCCUGGCCGAGAGAGAGAAGCAGAAGUUUUAACUGCCUUCUUUCCUGUGUAUCUGACUUUUUUGAGGAGGAGCUCGGUAGAGGGCAGACAGGAGUAAAAGCAGCAAGAUCCCCAACAAGAAAGUUGACUCCAGCAUUCCAUCCUACCAAGGGUGUCUGAAUAUAGGAAGAGGCCCCACACAAAGCCAGAAUGCGUGCUUGCCUUGUGGCUGUCUUUAAUCCUAUUAAAUCUUAUUAAAAAAUAAUGACAAGCAAAGUGAGACUGAUCUGAGGAAGACUGAAGAAUGGUGAAACUGUUUUGGAGGGAGCUAGUUAAGCCAUAUAUGUUCCAGAGAUGUUUUCUUCUUCACUCCCAUACCUGAGAGAUUUCAUAAGAUUCAGUAGAUCUUCCAUCAGUGAUAUUUCCUCCCUGUGCCAAGGGGGCAUACGAAGAAGAAAAUGAUCACAGAAUUCAAAAGAUGGAGAUCCUGCCAUCAAUGACUGAGCUUCCCUGAAAUCUUCCUUAUCAGUUACUGCCAAGAUGAGAAGGAUAACAGAAAGGAGGAGUUUUAAGUGGUUUUAAUGAUAGUUAAUUUCACCUAUUUAUCAAAUGACAGUCGUUCUUAAAACUCUUCAAUUGUUGUACAAAAGGACACUUUUUUGGAAACUGUUUUUGUAAAAUUUACUAUUUUGCAAACGAAGUCACUGGGUUUUUUUAUGUAUAUAAAAUGAAUGAUAUGGUC